AGUUAAAAAAAAUAAAAAUAAAAUACACAGUUUUAAUCAGCACAUGAAAGAAAUGAACUUCAAUCCAGAGGACAAUUUGCUGUUUUUAUCUUUUAUUAUUCAGCAAAGUUUUAAUCAAUUAUUUUGAAAACGCAGUAAUCUGCCACAAAAUAAAACGUCUGAAAUGAGUUAUUUUCCUUUACAACUUUUGCUGAAAAGCUUGGUUACACAUAUUUGUGAAGAUGAUUUUAGAAGAGCAGGUUAUUAAACAAGCCGAGUUAAUUUGUUUGAUUUUUAUUACACAAAAAUACGCUUUUAAAUUGGCUUCACUUUGCAAAGACAAAUAAAAACUGCAAAAGUCGAACUCUCAGUUGAGUCUAUCCUCCAUAGUAACAUCUUUUGCUAAAAGCAGAAGCCAAAACUCAGGUCUCAAAACAAAAACUCAGCCGAAAUGAUUCGUUUUGCUCCUAAACUCCCCCAAUGCCAAACUGAUYGGACACAACCAGUGCUGCCAACACAGGCUUUACCAAAAUUACCUUUAUUCUGUUACUUCUCAUCAAUAAAUGACCUUAGUAUAAGGCUGUAUCCACACCAGGUAGUCUGGUAGACUCGGUUCRAUUUGGGACCAAAAUUGCAACAUUUGUUUACAUUUCGAGCUGGUGUGGUUCACUCUCACACUGCACUUUGUCAAACAAACCAAACCCUGUGAACAACCUGUUCCCCGCCUCGCCUGUGGGGGCGCUGCAACAAGAACCAAUGAAGGAUGAACAUGAAAACCUCUGAAGAMGACACUUAGCGCAACUUCCUUCUUCACAAAAUGCAAACAAACACRGAGUGACGUCAGAUUUUAGCGGUUGUGCCGAACAAACACUCAAAAAAAACAAAGGGCUCAGCAUGAGCCGAAGAACCGUGGAGGAUGUUGUUUUUCACACAGCGCGGCUGAAACGGCUCCACAUGAGGCGGCGUGCACCGAGUAGGAGCGCAUCCAACUUCAAAGCAGUGAUGUCCGCCCUUUUACAGACGUCGAGCGAGGUCAGUGGCUUUCAUCAGAUGUAAUGGUGCGGCUGGUUGUGAAUUAUGAAUGAAGAACCACUUUGAGGACGAAGAGGGUGAUGCAGAUUAUUCAUCCUUGAUUCCUUCGAUGCGACGCUGUUGGCUGAAGGGAUUCACACCAGACUGAUGAGGAGGACUGUGUUACUCAGCGGUGUAACCGGGCUGUGUAUACCAGCUCACUCCGAG